UACGAACUGUGCAAACGUUAUUCGGAAUCACUGGGCUUAAAGGGUGCGUAGGCGGCUUAUCAAGUAGGGUGUGAAAGCCCCCGGCUUAACCGGGGAAUUGCGCCCUAAACUGACGAGCUGGAGUGGGACAGGGGUGUGUGGAACUUCCGGUGGAGCGGUGAAAUGUGUUGAUAUCGGAAGGAACGCCGGUGGCGAAAGCGACCUGCUGGAUCUCUACUGACGCUGAGGCGCGAAAGCCAGGGGAGCGAACGGG
rnacentral:rRNA from 1 species